rnacentral:tRNA from 1 species
GAGGGUCUAGCUCAGCGGUACAGUGCGUGUUUAGCAGGCACGAGGUCCCGGGUUCAAUCCCCAGUACCUCCG